rnacentral:rRNA from 1 species
CUAGCGACUUCUAGAGUUUGUAUCCUGGCUCAGGAUGAACGCUGGCGGCGUGCUUAACACAUGCAAGUCGAACGGAGUGAAUAAAACGGAAGUUUUCGGUAUGGAAGUUUUACUUACUUAGUGGCGGACGGGUGAGUAACGCGUGGGUAACUUGCCCUCUAGACUGGGAUAACAGAUAGAAAUGUCUGAUAAUACCGGAUAUUAUUGUUACAUGGCAUCAUGUAGGAAUGAAAGGAUAAGAUUGCUAGAGGAGAGCUUUGCAUCCUAUUAGCUAGUUGGUAAGGUAGCGGCUUACCAAGGCGAUGAUAGGUAGCCGGCCUGAGAGGGUGGACGGCCACAAGGGGACUGAGAUACGGCCCUU